UCCGGACCGAACCGGGUCCGCCGUCUCGGGCAUUUCGUUUCCGCCAACUCCGAACGCAGAGACGGAAAUCGUUGAGCAGCCAGCGGUCGCCUCGGACGGCGGUGGCUCUCUCGGCCGUCGUUUUUCGGACGCUCCGGACGGCACGACCAUCAGCUACCCCGGUUCGGAAUUAUUAGGCGGCGACGAUGCGGGCGGUUCGCGACCCGUACGGGGAACGUGUGCUUUUGUGGUGUUGGUGCCAGCAGACGGGACUUUUUACUACGCGGAAAUCGCUUUGGAUAGUCGCAGUUCGGUAAAUGCGCAGUGAAAAUUUAUAUAUUCGCAGUGAUGGGAAGAUUUUCUAUUUUUUCCUAUUAUUUAUUUUGUGCAACGGAUCCAAUAAAGACAUGAUUUUUGGAACUUCAAAAUAAACGUACACUGAUUCCUGAGCGCAGACCAAGACGUAACCGAAAAUCGUUAGUCAAACAAUGCACGGGAAGGAGGAAUUUUAAUGUGGAUAAUAGAAGAACGCCAAUGAUCAAUUGCGAAUAAUGACGAUGAAUUUAAUGAAGAGUACAUCGAAUGACGUCGGCAUAUUAUAAAUGAAGUAAAAAACACCUGCGGAUCGGCGACACACAGGCAUUUUUACGUCCUCUAUAAAAAUUACAAGGAACCUUAAAUUGAUAACUUUUUUCUUAUCAUUUUUUAAAUAUCACAUUAUUUGGCUGUUUUAAUGUAGUUGAACAUCGGUGGUCGCACGUGUAACACAACCACACCGUGAGGCACGCAAAAUUGUCCAAAAAUCUCCUAAUUAUAUAAGCAACUUGUUAAAAAUACCGUGAUAAGUUCAAUUGGUUAUUGUGAAGAUAAAAUCAAUUCGUUAAUCGUUUGACAGGUGUUAAUCGCGGAUCGUUUUUCAUAUGUAUACAGGUUUGACAAAAAUGUUCAACUACAUUUUAAUGAUUGUAGAUGUCUAAUUAUUUUUCUUUGUUGCAUGUGCAGGACGGCGAAAAUUGGUGGAGGAUCUGCGUGGGAUUUUCAGACGAAAUUGGUUUUCACAGUGAUUUUAUAAUUUUAUUUAUUUAUGAGAUCAUUGUGAAAGCUGAUUUUGUUAUCGCUUUGUCAUCACAACGAAAUGAAGAAUUAAACCAGCAAGGACUACAAAAAUUGUUUAGGCUUAACUUUAUACUAAUUUAAUUCAUAAAAAAUUACUAGGAUUUAUUUAAACAUUGUAAUUAAGUCACAUACUAUUUGUAUAAUUAUUAAUGUGGCUGUUAUCUAGGUAUAAUAAAAUUAAUAUUAAAUUAAUAUAAAAAAUUUUAUAUUUUACUUUCGACUUAAUUUAUUGUGUUUGCUUUAUGUCGUGUUUUAUGUAUGUCGUAUGAAUGGUAUGUAAAAAUGUUUUAAUAAAAAUUUUUUAAUUGA